rnacentral:rRNA from 1 species
UACGAAGGGUGCUAGCGUUGUUCGGAAUCACUGGGCGUAAAGCGCGCGUAGGCGGCUAUUCAAGUCAGGGGUGAAAUCCUGGGGCUUAACCCCAGAAUUGCCUUUGAAACUGUAUAGCUAGAGUGUCGGAGGGGAUAGCGGAAUUCCUAAUGUAGAGGUGAAAUUCGUAGAUAUUAGGAGGAACACCGGUGGCGAAGGCGGCUAUCUGGACGACAACUGACGCUGAGACGCGAAAGCGUGGGGAGCGAACAGGAUUAGAUACCCCGGUAGU